rnacentral:rRNA from 1 species
CCUACGGGAGGCUGCAGUGAGGAAUAUUGGUCAAUGGACGAGAGUCUGAACCAGCCAAGUAGCGUGAAGGAUGACUGCCCUAUGGGUUGUAAACUUCUUUUAUAUGGGAAUAAAACGUUCCACGUGUGGGAUUUUGUAUGUACCAUAUGAAUAAGGAUCGGCUAACUCCGUGCCAGCAGCCGCGGUAAUACGGAGGGUCCGAGCGUUAUCCGGAUUUAUUGGGUUUAAAGGGAGCGUAGGUGGAUUGUUAAGUCAGUUGUGAAAGUUUGCGGCUCAACCGUAAAAUUGCAGUUGAAACUGGCAGUCUUGAGUACAGUAGAGGUGGGCGGAAUUCGUGGUGUAGCGGUGAAAUGCUUAGAUAUCACGAAGAACUCCGAUUGCGAAGGCAGUUCACUGGACUGCAACUGACACUGAGGCUCGAAAGUGUGGGUAUCAAACAGGAUUAGAUACCCGUGUAGUC